rnacentral:rRNA from 1 species
GUUGAGAACCACUGCCCUAAAGGCACCAGAUCCUGUCUGAUCUUGGAAGUUAAGCAGGGUCAGCCUUAGUUAGCACUUGGAUGAGAGACCACUAAUUAAUACCAGGAGCUGCUGGCU